GACGUAGGAGGCGAGCGUUGUCCGGAUUCAUUGGGCGUAAAGAGCGCGCAGGCGGCUUGUUAAGUCGGAUGUGAAAUCCCGAGGCUCAACCUCGGGUCUGCAUCCGAUACUGCCCGGCUAGAGGUAGGUAGGGGAGAUCGGAAUUCCUGGUGUAGCGGUGAAAUGCGCAGAUAUCAGGAGGAACACCGGUGGCGAAGGCGGAUCUCUGGGCCUUACCUGACGCUCAGGCGCGAAAGCCAGGGGAGCAAACGGG
rnacentral:rRNA from 1 species